rnacentral:rRNA from 1 species
GAUGAACGCUGGCGGUAUGCUUAACACAUGCAAGUCGAACGGACUCUUCGGAGUUAGUGGCGGACGGGUGAGUAACGCGUGAGAAUCUGGCUUUGGGUUCGGGACAACCACUGGAAACGGUGGCUAAUACCGGAUGUGCCGAGAGGUAAAAGAGAAAUUGCCUGAAGAUGAGCUCGCGUCUGAUUAGCUAGUUGGUGAGAUAAAGGCUCACCAAGGCAGCGAUCAGUAGCUGGUCUGAGAGGAUGACCAGCCACACUGGGACUGAGACACGGCCCAGACUCCUACGGGAGGCAGCAGUGGGGAAUUUUCCGCAAUGGGCGAAAGCCUGACGGAGCAAUACCGCGUGAGGGAAGAAGGCUCUUGGGUUGUAAACCUCUUUUCUUAGGGAAGAACAAAAUGACGGUACCUAAGGAAUCAGCAUCGGCUAACUCCGUG